AUUGAACGCUGGCGGAAUGCUUUACACAUGCAAGUCGAACGGCAGCACGGACUUCGAUCUGGUGGCGAGUGGCGAACGGGUGAGUAAUGUAUCGGAACGUGCCCAGUCGUGGGGGAUAACGUAGUGAAAAUUACGCUAAUACCGCAUACGAUCUAUGGAUGAAAGCGGGGGAUCGCAAGACCUCGCGCGAUUGGAGCGGACGAUAUCUGAUUAGGUAGUUGGUGGGGUAAAGGCCCACCAAGCCAACGAUCUGUAGCUGGUCUGAGAGGACGACCAGCCACACUGGAACUGAGACACGGUCCAGACUCCUACGGGAGGCAGCAGUGGGGAAUUUUGGACAAUGGGCGAAAGCCUGAUCCAGCCAUUCCGCGUGCAGGAUGAAGGCCCUCGGGUUGUAAACUGCUUUUGUACAGAACGAAAAGGUUUCUACUAAUACUAGGAGCUCAUGACGGUACUGUAAGAAUAAGCACCGGCUAACUACGUGCCAGCCGCCGCAGUAA
rnacentral:rRNA from 1 species